GGGCGAAUGGCGGAACGGUAGACGCGCUGGCUUCAGGUGCCAGUGAGCGCAAGCUCGUGGAGGUUCAAAUCCUCUUUCGCCCA
rnacentral:tRNA from 1 species